rnacentral:rRNA from 1 species
GACGAACGCUGGCGGCGUGCUUAACACAUGCAAGUCGAACGGUGAAGCGCCUUCCUUUUUGGUGGGUGUGGAUGAGUGGCGAACGGGUGAGUAACACGUGAGUAACCUGCCCCCUUCUUCUGGAUAACCGCAUGAAAGUGUGGCUAAUACGGGAUAUUCUGGGUCUGUCGCAUGAUGGGUCUGGGAAAGAUAUUGUUUCGGUGGGGGAUGGGCUCGCGGCCUAUCAGCUUGUUGGUGGGGUGAUGGCCUACCAAGGCGGUGACGGGUAGCCGGCCUGAGAGGGUGGACGGUCACACUGGGACUGAGACACGGCCCAGACUCCUACGGGAGGCAGCAGUGGGGAAUAUUGCACAAUGGGCGCAAGCCUGAUGCAGCGACGCCGCGGGAGGGAUGGGGGCCUUCGGGUUGUGAACCUCUUUCGCCAGUGAAGCAGGCCUGCCUCGUUUGUGGGUGGGUUGACGGUAGCUGGAUAAGAAGCGCCGGCUAACUACGUG